GACGAACGCUGGCGGCGUGCUUAACACAUGCAAGUCAAACGGCAGCGAGGGAGAAGCUUGCUUUUCCUGCCGGCGAGUGGCGAACGGGUGAGUAAUACAUCGGAACGUGCCCUGUAGUGGGGGAUAACUAGUCGAAAGAUUAGCUAAUACCGCAUACGACCUGAGGGUGAAAGUGGGGGACCGCAAGGCCUCAUGCUAUAGGAGCGGCCGAUGUCUGAUUAGCUAGUUGGUGGGGUAAAGGCCUACCAAGGCGACGAUCAGUAGCUGGUCUGCGAGGACGAUCAGCCACAGUGGGACUGAGACACGGCCCAGACUCCUACGGGAGGCAGCAGUGGGGAAUUUUGGACAAUGGGCGAAAGCCUGAUCCAGCAAUGCCGCGUGUGUGAAGAAGGCCUUCGGGUUGUAAAGCACUUUUGUCCGGAAAGAAAUGGCUCUGGUUAAUACCUGGGGUCGAUGACGGUACCAGAAGAAUAAGGACCGGCUAACUACGUGCCAGCAGCCGCCGUAA
rnacentral:rRNA from 1 species